rnacentral:lncRNA from 1 species
UGCAGGCAUGUGCCACCACCCCUGGAUCAAUGUAUGCAGUUUUGUAUUAACCUUUGGUUUUCAGCAACCAGUUGAAAAUUUUCUUCUGGGUCAAAAAGUUGCCCCUACAGCACAUUGAGACUUAUUAAUUACUGAUCUAUUGUUGUUAAUUACUGAGUUGGGUUUUAGUAUUUCACAUUAAGAGCAUUGCUAUUGGAUAUUCAGAACAUUUUUCACAUUUUGCCUGACUUUAACACAAAAAAAUACCUAAUGAGAGAGCAAAAGUACCUUGUUUUGGUCUUCCAAUGUAAAUUUUUCUUUUUUUCUUUUCUCCUCACUAAUGUUACCACCCCACAGAAAACAAGAGUGCAAUUUACGGAUCAAAGUUGGUGUUGUGAUUUUAUAUAUACACACACACACACACACACACACAUAUACUGGGAACUGAACCCAGGGGCACUUUACCACUGAGUUAAGUCCCCAACCAUUUUUAUUUUUUAUUUUGAAAUUUUGAGAUAGGGUCUCACGAAGUUCUUUAGGGCCUUUCUAAAUUGCUGAGGCUGGCCUUGAACUUGCAAUCCUUACCUCAAGCUGCUGGGAUUAUAGGCUUGUACCAUCAUGAUCAGCCAGUGUUGUAAUUUUUAAAAUAACUGCCGCAGUCCAGCUGCAGCAAAAUAACCGGGGGGUGACAAACAAUUUGUGUAGAUUGAUACAGCAGGAGUAGGAGCCAUUUAUUGCAGGACAGGAGCAGUAUUUAUACAUUCCACACAACUUAUCUAAUUAGCAUAAACUAGAUACAUCAGUCAACCAAUAAGGAAUCUCCACACUUAAUGGCUCGCUUUUGUUACUUCUCAAACCACUCCCUCUGGCAUUUUACCAGGCACCAUCCAGACUUGUUUACGAACGCUAACAUUCCCCUGGCAAAAUGCCAGGUGUUAUUUUGACUUGUUUACAGACUCUAACAAAUAACUUUAUUUUAUUUAUUAUUUUUAUGUGGUGCUGAGGAUCGAGCCCAGUGCCUCAUACAUGCCAGGCAAGUACUCUACCACUGAGCCACAACCCCAGCCCCCUGUAUUGUAAUUUUUAAACACUAUUAUUUACUAUGCUUCAAUUACUCUAUCUUGUUCUCUUUCCUCUCCUUACUUCU